UUCUGUGCUCGCCCCGCCCCCUCCCGAGUGGGUCCCGCCCCGGCUAGGCCCCACCCCUGCCCCGCCCCCGAUGUUGGCGCAGGCCACGCCCCCUCAGCGUCCAGCCUUCUGGGUCCGAGGCUCCCACCUGCGCUCAGCGCUUGGUAUCGGGGAGGGAAUGGGAGGAUGCUUGCGGGGUAGGGAGGCGGGGGUUGGAAAUUGGCAGAGUGAGAACUGGGGAAAGUAGUCUGAGACGCAGCCCUGCCUGUCCCCCUUCUUCAUUCACCCUCUUGUUGAGGGCCUUGGCUUUUGCAUAAUGUGGGAGCUCCUGGAGAGGAGGGUGCUUCCCAGCAGCUCCUGUUCGACCCCCAGCCCCGGGCCAAGGGCACAGAGAGAGAACACCCUUUAAAAAAAAUGUAUUUAAAGAGGCUGGUUCCUAUCCAUCCGACUGGAGGCAUCUCAGUACAAGAGCAAAGCUAAGUCCUGCACAUACACCUCCCCUCCUCCUCCUCUUCCUUCCCCUCCCCCCCUCCUCCUCCUCCCCAGCCCCCCAGGUUUUCCCGAAUGUAUCUACUCCGGUUACAACUAGACGCGGCCCCUCCCCCACCUGCCUUCCCCCUUCCUCCCCUCGAUCGUGGAGGGAGUGUUCUCUGUGCCUUCCCAGGUCCCCGUGGGGGACCUUCUAUGUUGGAGUGGGGGGAGGGGGGGAGGGUCAUAUAACGAAGGCCAGAAAGAACAAAUUAGAUAAUCAAAAGAAUUAUAGUAAUUGCUUUCACUUUCCCCAGCCAGCUCAGCGGAUUCCCUCCCCCUCCCCUCCCCUGGUUUUUCUGUCUGUCGGGAAUACUCGGUCUUUCCGACCCCCUCCCCUCCCCCAGGUUCCUCCUCUCCUCUCUCCUUGCUCGCGCGUUCCCUCUCUUCCUCCGUUUUCUGGUGUGCUGGAACGUUCAGCGGAAUAUGAUGAAUGAUCACCUGUCACAGCUUGUUUAUUAUAAUGCAGGCAAUCAAUUACACAUCCCCAACGCUGGCCGGCCCGCAGGAAAUUUAUAUGCUCAGCACAAACCAAUGUGAA
rnacentral:lncRNA from 1 species